AAAUUAAGUCGCUACUUAUGAAUCAUAAAUUCGUGAAACCGUAUACGAUGAAUAUAGAUAUCGAUACUGCAAGCAUAAAUGAAUGGAAAAUUCGUGGAGAAAAUCGUGUAUAUCAGUAAUACUUGUAUAAAAAAAAAAUUAUUUGAUUCAAUUAAAUGUGCUACUCUCUCCAUUGUUCAACAACAACGUGUAGGUAUAUUUCAGCGUCCCUCGUACCUAACUCGGUUCGACUAGGGACUGGAUCAACGUCGUCACGACGAUCGUAUUUGGUACGAUCUACAAUGCCAAGACACCCGAUAUACCUACGCAUUAUAAUAUCAAAGCGUAUAAUAUACGCUGGAGCAAAAUAAAAGAAAAAGAAACACCGAGAGUACCGGAUAAGCAUAUUACAGGGUGGCCAAAAAUUUUUGGACAACCGAAAAAUUCCACGACAACAUUUCCAGGUUUUCCCUGACAUUUUACCAGUUCUGACGUGUGACUACCCUGUAUUAAAAACACGAUUGUAACAACGCUGUGCAGGCGCGACCGUUUCAUGAUAUAGCUCAAGUUCCAAAUAGAUGUGGUAGAAGUAAAAAAAAAAUAAUUAAAUAAAACAAGAUGACGACGACGACGACGGUGAGGAUGACGAGGACCGAUACAGAAGUGGUUGACUACAAAGAAGUACGGAAAAGCGACUUGUACACCACACGGAGUGUCUCUCAUACCUUCGUCGUCGUCGUUACAAUCCUAUCGUAACGACAAAGGAAGGUGAACGGACGCGGACCGUAUGUGACACGAUUAUUAUACCGUGCAGCAUAGCCGUAACCAAGGAUUCUAACUCAACCUAGAUAUAUAAAUAAAUUAAUCAAUGAACGAGGCUUAAAUAUACCCGCCAAAAAAAAAUUUUUAAAUUUGUUCCAUCCAACUUUAGUGGAAUUAUUUUUUGGAACUCGGUUCGAACACGCACCGCGCAACAGUAUAAUAACGAGGUUGUGCUAGGAAUGGUUGGGUUCAUGCGUGUAUGCGUGCAUGUACGAAAGUGGCGACAAGGACGUUACCAAGCCUCGCCCGAGCUACGAUCGCCAAAAACUCUCCAUCGCUCAUCGGCUCGUUCUUCGAAAAGAUUUACCGUUCGGUGAAAUCGGCAGCACGAUAUCUGCAUCAUCGCGCGAUGGUGGUGGUGGUGGUGGUGGAUCAGUUUCAAGGCCGUUUUGCAUACAAUGUAUAAUAAACUGACGUGACUUUAAGCCAAACGGAUUAAACAUUCCAAAGUUUUUCUUUUCCUUCUUUCAUCAUUUCCGUUGUAGAAAUUUACAUCAAAUAAAAAAACGAAAUAAAUAUGUAUACAUAAUAUAGUAUGAUGUAAGACACAUGCAAGAUUGAACAAGAAUUGAGAGCGAUGUAAAAAGAGAAAGAACAAAUUGAAUGUUCAAUAUGAACAAUACAAAUCAGAAUCAAGUUUGUAACGUUAUUGUAAUGACGCGUCGUCGGAAACACUCGGUUAUUUUUCAACUUUAGUGGAUUACCUGAAAUUCAGGAAUCCGUUGAUAAAGCACGAAGAAACUCAGUUGUUGUCAAUUCGACUUAUUCAGAUCCAAAGUAGGAAUUUUUUUCUCAACGUGCCGAUACGGUAACGUUACUAUCUUAAGUCACGUAACAAUUAGAGCAACAUAUAAGAAUACGAUGUAGUAGUAAUAAAAAAGAAAAAAAAUGAAAAUCAGCCGACAAAGUGUUGAUAAAUACUAGGAUACGUCAUCCAUGUCACGUGCAAUAUCGAUAAUAUGAGUCGGCUCUUUUAUCACGCUUGUUUGCCCGUUUUACCGUAUAGACACGUCUAUUGUAUCCGAACGAUUAACAGACAUUGCAUAUAUACACAUAUAUCCACACUCCAAUGUCCAUGUCCAUAUGCACGUAGCGUACGAUUCAGAGAAAUGCACACCU